UACCCGCAGCACAAGUGGUGGUCAUUAUUAUUGGGCCUAAAGCGUCCGUAGCUGGCUUGUUAGAUGCCUGGGUAAAUCGAUGCGCUCAACGUAUCGAAUUCCGGGUAGACCGGCAAGCUCGAGACCGGGAGAGGUGUAGGCUACUCGAGGGGUAGGGGUAAAAUCCUGUAAUCCUUCGGGGAGGACCAGUGGCGAAGGCGCUACACUAGAACGGCUCUGACAGUGAGGGACGAAGCCCUGGGGCGCAAACCAGGG
rnacentral:rRNA from 1 species